rnacentral:rRNA from 1 species
UACGUAGGCAGCGAGCGUUGUUCGGAGUUACUGGGCGUAAAGGGUGUGUAGGCGGUUGUUUAAGUUUGGUGUGAAAUCUCCCGGCUCAACUGGGAGGGUGCGCCGAAUACUGAAUGACUUGGAGUGCGGGAGAGGAAAGUGGAAUUCCUGGUGUAGCGGUGAAAUGCGCAGAUAUCAGGAGGAACACCAAUGGCGAAGGCAGCACUCUGGGACGUGACUGGCGCUGAGACGCGAAAGCGUGGGGAGCAAACAGG